UACGUAGGGUGCAAGCGUUGUCCGGAAUUAUUGGGCGUAAAGAGCUCGUAGGCGGUCUGUCGCGUCGGCUGUGAAAACCCGGGGCUCAACCCCGGGCCUGCAGUCGAUACGGGCAGACUAGAGUGUGGUAGGGGAGACUGGAAUUCCUGGUGUAGCGGUGAAAUGCGCAGAUAUCAGGAGGAACACCGGUGGCGAAGGCGGGUCUCUGGGCCAUAACUGACGCUGAGGUGCGAAAGCGUGGGGAGCGAACAGG
rnacentral:rRNA from 1 species